rnacentral:tRNA from 1 species
GGAGCAGUUGGUAGCUCGCCAGGCUCAUAACCUGGAGGUCGCACGUUCGAAUCCUGCC